rnacentral:rRNA from 1 species
UACGUAGGGUCCGAGCGUUGUCCGGAAUUAUUGGGCGUAAAGGGCUCGUAGGCGGUUUGUCGCGUCGGGAGUGAAAACUCAGGGCUCAACCCUGAGCGUGCUUCCGAUACGGGGCAGACUAGAGGUAUGCAGGGGAGAACGGAAUUCCUGGUGUAGCGGUGGAAUGCGCAGAUAUCAGGAGGAACACCGGUGGCGAAGGCGGUUCUCUGGGCCUUACCUGACGCUGAGGAGCGAAAGCGUGGGGAGCGAACAGG